rnacentral:rRNA from 1 species
AGUGAACGCUGGCGGCAGGCCUAACACAUGCAAGUCGAGCGGCAGCGGGCUGUAGCAAUACAGUGCCGGCGAGCGGCGGACGGGUGAGGAAUACAUCGGAAUCUACCUUGUCGUGGGGGAUAACGUAGGGAAACUUACGCUAAUACCGCAUACGAACUACGGUUGAAAGCGGAGGACCGCAAGGCUUCGCGCGAUUGGAUGAGCCGAUGUCGGAUUAGCUAGUUGGCGGGGUAAUGGCCCACCAAGGCGACGAUCCGUAGCUGGUCUGAGAGGAUGAUCAGCCACACUGGAACUGAGACACGGUCCAGACUCCUACGGGAGGCAGCAGUGGGGAAUAUUGGACAAUGGGCGCAAGCCUGAUCCAGCCAUGCCGCGUGUGUGAAGAAGGCCU